rnacentral:lncRNA from 1 species
GCCACUUGUUGUACCAACUGUCUUCAUCGGUGACGAGAGACCCCACCUGAAGUCGAUGGCGCUGAGCCCGAUCAGCAUCCCAGUGAGGACAGUGGCUUCCUCCCGCAGCAUGAUGGCUCCGGAGUCAUAGAACCGUCUGCAGGGAGGAGAAAGCUGAGACUCCCAAGGAGUGUCCCUCCACCCAGGAUUUCUCUGCCUGGCUUACUUAUUACAAACUUUACCCGGAGGAAGGAGACUCCUUCCGGCUCAGUACCUCACUGGAACUAGCACCUGACCCAGCCCCCAUCACAAUGCCUGUUUCCUUACAAGAAACACGGUUCUGUUCUCUAGGCUAAGCAACCCCUAUCAAAGCACUAUAGGGUCACCUCAAUCCUAUAAAUCAGGGAGUAAAUCUUAGUCUUAGUGCUUGUCACACAUACAGUAAAUGAGGUCCUCAAAAG